CCUACGGGGGGCAGCAGUGGGGAAUAUUGCACAAUGGGGGAAACCCUGAUGCAGCGACGCCGCGUGAGUGAAGAAGUAAUUCGUUAUGGAAAGCUCUAUCAGCCGGGAAGAAAAUGACGGUACCUGAGUAAGAAGCCCCGGCUAACUACGUGCCAGCAGCCGCGGUAAUACGUCGGGGGCAAGCGUUAUCCGGAUUUACUGGGUGUAAAGGGAGCGUAGACGGCAGUGCAAGUCUGGAGGGAAAGGCGGGGGCUCAACCCCCGGACUGCUCUUGAAACUGUACUGCUUGAGUGAAGGAGAGGUAAGUGGAAUGCGUAGUGUAGCGGUGAAAUGCGUAGAUAUUAGGAGGAACACCAGUUGCGAAGGCGGCUUACCGGACUGUAACUGACGUUGAGGCUCGAAAGCGUGGGGAGCAAACAGGAUUAGAUACCCUUGUAGUC
rnacentral:rRNA from 1 species